UAUGGCCACAUCAUUUUGAAACCCCGAUUCCCGUACGAUCCCUGAAGUAAAGCAAUGUCAUGCCUGGUCAGUACCUAGAUGGGUGACUGCUUGGAAAUACUAGGUGCUGUAAG